UACGUAGGCAGCAAGCGUUGUUCGGAAUUACUGGGCGUAAAGAGUGUGUAGGCGGUGCUCUAAGUUUGGUGUGAAAUCUCCCGGCUCAACUGGGAGGGUGCGCCGAAAACUGGAAUGCUUGAACAUGGGAGAGGAAAGCGGAAUUCCUGGUGUAGCGGUGAAAAUGCGUAGAUAUCAGGAGGAACACCUGCGGUGUAGACGGCUUUCUGGACCAUUGUUGACGCUGAGACACGAAAGCGUGGGUAGCAAACAGG
rnacentral:rRNA from 1 species